AACGAACGCUGGCGGCAUGCCUAACACAUGCAAGUCGAACGAGACCUUCGGGUCUAGUGGCGCACGGGUGCGUAACGCGUGGGAAUCUGCCCUUGGGUUCGGAAUAACUCAGAGAAAUUUGAGCUAAUACCGGAUGAUGACGUAAGUCCAAAGAUUUAUCGCCCAAGGAUGAGCCCGCGUAAGAUUAGCUUGUUGGUAGGGUAAUGGCCUACCAAGGCGACGAUCUUUAGCUGGUCUGAGAGGAUGAUCAGCCACACUGGGACUGAGACACGGCCCAGACUCCUACGGGAGGCAGCAGUGGGGAAUAUUGGACAAUGGGCGAAAGCCUGAUCCAGCAAUGCCGCGCGAGUGAUGAAGGCCUUAGGGUUGUAAAGCUCUUUUACCAGGGAUGAUAAUGACAGUACCUGGAGAAUAAGCUCCGGCUAACUCCGUG
rnacentral:rRNA from 1 species